GAUGAACGCUGGCGGCGUGCCUAAUACAUGCAAGUCGAGCGAACGGACGAGAAGCUUGCUUCUCUGAUGUUAGCGGCGGACGGGUGAGUAACACGUGGAUAACCUACCUAUAAGACUGGGAUAACUUCGGGAAACCGGAGCUAAUACCGGAUAAUAUUUUGAACCGCAUGGUUCAAAAGUGAAAGACGGUCUUGCUGUCACUUAUAGAUGGAUCCGCGCUGCAUUAGCUAGUUGGUAAGGUAACGGCUUACCAAGGCAACGAUGCAUAGCCGACCUGAGAGGUGAUUCGGCCCCCCUGAAACUGAAACCCGGCCCAACUCCCUAGGGGAGGCAGCAGUAGGGAAUCUUCCGAAAUGGGCGAAAGCCUGACGGAGCAACGCCGCGGGGGUGAUGAAGGUCUUCGGAUCGUAAAACUCUUUUUUUAGGGAAAAAAAUUUUUGUAAGUAACUGGGCACCUUUGGACGGUACCUAAUCAGAAAACCCCGGCUAACUACGU
rnacentral:rRNA from 1 species